UACGAAGGGGGCUAGCGUUGCUCGGAAUCACUGGGCGUAAAGCGCACGUAGGCGGAUUGCUAAGUCAGGGGUGAAAUCCUGGAGCUCAACUCCAGAACUGCCUUUGAUACUGGCGACCUUGAGUCCGGGAGAGGUGAGUGGAACUGCGAGUGUAGAGGUGAAAUUCGUAGAUAUUCGCAAGAACACCAGUGGCGAAGGCGGCUCACUGGCCCGGUACUGACGCUAAGGUGCGAAAGCGUGGGGAGCAAACAGG
rnacentral:rRNA from 1 species